rnacentral:rRNA from 1 species
AUUGAACGCUGGCGGCAUGCCUUACACAUGCAAGUCGAACGGCAGCACGGGGGCAACCCUGGUGGCGAGUGGCGAACGGGUGAGUAAUGCAUCGGAACGUGCCAAGUAGUGGGGGAUAACCAGUCGAAAGACUGGCUAAUACCGCGUACGACCUACGGGUGAAAGCGGGGGACCGCAAGGCCUCGCGCUAUUGGAGCGGCCGAUGUCUGCUUAGCUAGUUGGCGGGGGAAGAGCCCACCAAGGCGACGAUCAGUAGCUGGUCUGAGAGGACGACCAGCUACACUGGGACUGAGACACGGCCCAGACUCCUACGGGAGGCAGCAGUGGGGAAUUUUGUGCAAUGGGCGCAAGCCUGAUCCAGCCAUGCCGCGUGCGGGAAGAAGGCCUUCGGGUUGUAAACCGCUUUUGGCAGGAACGAAACGGCGCGAGCCAAUACCUCGCGCUAAUGACGGUACCUGCAGAAUAAUCACCGGCUAACUACGUGCCAGCCGCCGCCGUAACAC